rnacentral:rRNA from 1 species
UACGUAGGGGGCAAGCGUUGUCCGGAAUCAUUGGGCGUAAAGCGCGUGUAGGCGGUCCGGUAAGUCCGCUGUGAAAGUCGGGGGCUCAACCCUCGGAUGCCGGUGGAUACUGUCGGGCUUGAGUACGGAAGAGGCGAGUGGAAUUCCUGGUGUAGCGGUGAAAUGUGUAGAGAUCGGGAGGAACACCGGUGGCGAAGGCGGGUCUCUGGGCCGAUACUGACGCUGAGGAGCGAAAGCGUGGGGAGCAAACAGG